rnacentral:rRNA from 1 species
GACGAAGCGCGCGAACGUUGUUCGGAAUCACUGGGCUUAAAGGGCGCGUAGGCGGGUGCUCAAGUCCGGGGUGAAAUCCUCCGGCUCAACCGGAGAACUGCCUCGGAUACUGGGCGUCUCGAGUGUGGUAGGGGUAUGCGGAACUAUCGGUGGAGCGGUGAAAUGCGUUGAUAUCGAUAGGAACUCCGGUGGCGAAGGCGGCAUACUGGACCACCACUGACGCUGAUGCGCGAAAGCCAGGGGAGCAAACGGG